UUUGGUCCACCCAAAAAUUGUUUUCUUAUUUUGUUUUCAAAACUCUUCUUAGUUGUAAGAAGUGAUCUUCGUUUUCAAUGAAAACUGAUUUUCUAAAACUUCUGGAUUUUAAAAACUUAUCUUUAAUCUCCUCAAAGAUGUUGGCUUCAUUUUUCAAAACUUCUUGUUUUUCAAAUCUUUUUUGUUUUCAUCCUUUGUUUUUCAAAUCGGUUUUUCUCCAAGUAUUUUAGCAAAAGAUAAUCUUUCCUUCUUUAUCCUGUAGCAUCUUUCCGCUCUUGUGUUUGGUUUGUUUCUAAUCUUAUGUUGACCUUUCAACCCCCUGAAAGAGAGAUCUGUUUUACCUUGUGUUUUUCGACGCCUGUAAUGCUGCUUAUUUCAGUUUUGGGAGCUUAAUUUUAUGUUAAAUAGUUGUUCCAAAAUCUCUUAAGUGAAAUCCAUGUUUUGAUCUUUUUGUAAUGUUUCUUUCCCUAAUCGCGUCUCCAAAGUGAAGCCCCCAGUCACAGGUUGGCCGAUUCUCUGCUGAGAAAAUUGGCUUGAUCUCUCUUUGCUUAAUUUCUCUGUCAUGGAGACCUCCUCGGAGGGCACAGGAUCAAUCACGAUGCAUCAUUUUCUCUUUGGAAUAUGUUAUUCUCAUUAUUUUGAUAAAUUUAUCACUUGGGUUGGAGCUUGCGGUGGAUGAAGUAAAAGGAAGCACAGUAGGAGGAGAAAAAACCUCUUGUCGGACGAUUGAUGUUAUUUAUCUUUUAAUCAAUGUAAUCUUCGGCUUUAGUUUCUGUAAGAAAUCUUGUUCUCGAUUUGCAAUCGAGUAUUUUGAUCUUCUUGGUAUUCGGUAUUCCAAUGUUUGUAUCCCUUUUAGUCAUAGGCAAAUGUAUCCAUGUAAGUGUUGGUUUAAUUAAUAUAUUACUUAGAGCUGUCCAAAAAAAAA